AAAGCUUAAACAAUCUUUUGCCUUUGUCAGUGUCUAAAGAAUGUUUAGACACUGGAUAUACAACAGAUGAACUGGUAAAACAGGAGGCUAUUUUAAAUUGUAAUGACCAGAAAUGGUCAUCUUUUCUUUGUAUUUUGGGCCUAUCUUCUGUUUUAGGUAGAAAAAUUCAUACUUUUUAUCCUGAUUCUGGUGAAAGUAGAUAUAAAUUGUUAUUUAAUUAUAUUGUUCAGCCCCGGUUAUUAAGCCAAAGAGGUUUGGAUGCUAUUAAUAUUUUGUUUUGUCAUGAAGGAUCUGUACAACCAGGGAGAAAGUUAAGGGUAUGGAUAAUUCUGAAAUAUGUCAUUUGAUAAAAAAUGUAUAUAAACCAGAUAAAAAGUAUCAUUUUCCUAAAUCUAAUGGCAGAUCAUUUAGGCAUGAUUGGCUAGACCAGCAUGAAUGGCUUUGCUAUUCACCUUCACAAAAUGGUGCGUAUUGUCUAUCGUGUGUGUUGUUUGGCAAUAGAUUCCCAGGCAAGGCCAGUAAAGUAAAAAAAGUUGUUUACUGAACCUCUUCAAGAUUGGAAGAAUGCUAAAUGCUCUUUCACUCAACAUGCUGGAAAAAGUAAAGGGAGGGAAGUCGGUUUGCAUGCAUCCACAUCACCAAUUUUGAUGCUUUGCGUUCCCAAAUAUCAGGUACUCUGCAGCCUAUCGAGAUGAUCAUGGAUGCUGGUAUCAAGAAAGAAAUAGAACAGAA